UGCCCUCCUGCAGGUCCUUCCUGUCCCGGACCACCACGGCCUGGUUCCCGAAGCUGCUGUACCAGGUCGACUGGCUGCGGCUCAGGUAGGUCGGGGGGGGGGGCGGCCUGCAAGUUCUGCUGCUGCUGCUGCCAGAUCAGCAGGGAGGUGUCCCGGUACCGAACCUGCGGGAAGGCCUCCGACAGGGCCUUUUCUGCCAGGGGGGGGCGCCCCAGACCUGGGGGAGCAGAGUGAUCACUUCAGUAUCAGAGGAAUAAAAACCCCAGGCAUAGGCCCACCUGCAGUUUUCAACGUUAUACCCCCCCACUUUGCUCAGCAUAUAACGUGUGGAGACAAUGGAAGAGCCUCAUAGACCGGACUCCGGACAGUGGGAGGCUCAGCUUCCUGCCAGCAGCUUAAAUAGAUAAUCUGGAUACCUAUAAUCCAGGUAACACGCUUACAGGUGAGGAUAUGACCCUUUAAGCAGAGGCCGGUCCGGACAGGGGGAGCUCGGGAUCCAACAAAACAUCAACACACACCACCGUCACACACACAUACCUACCAGCAGCAGGAGGACCAGGGGUCGGGUCUACAGUGGCUCCACAGACGGACAUGCUGCAGGAUCUCACGCUGCGUGCUUUGUGACCCUGGGUGCUGUCUGCAGGAUCUCACGCUGAGUGCUUUGUGACCCUGGGUGCUGUCUGCAGGAUCUCACGCUGAGUGCUUUGUGACCCUGGGUGCUGUCUGCAGGCUGCAGGUGGCCCUUCAGUGUCUAUCUUUCAGCAUGUCGUCCUCUCAGUUGCUGCUCGCCUGUCUCACUGCUCUGUCCCUCAUCCGCCUGCAAGUGUGUCUGCAGUGUUUCCGCUGUAAUGUGGGGGGGGUCCUCGAUGCAGUGGGGGUGCGCGGACUCUCAGGUGAUGAACUGCAGUCGGACUGACGGAGGAUUCAAACUGAAGCACUGCAUCACCACCUACAGCCGGUCUCUGGACCUGGUCCUGUCUCGCGGAUGUGCCACGUCUCGUCACUGUCAGCAGACUGAGCUCCCUGGAGUCUCGCUGGCCUGCUGUGAUUGGUCGCUGUGUAACGGUGGCUGGUGGUGGGCGGGUUCAGUCUGUACUGUCAUCAUCAGCCUCAUCAGCAGCACCUGGACGCAACUGUAUGACAUCACAGAGGGUUAGGAGCCAAUCACUGCUCAGUAGUAAUACCACAGGCUACAAUAUACAUAACCAAAGGGAUUUUCAUUUUGCAUAAUUUCAUAUUUGAAAUGAAUGAUUUGUGAUGAGA